AUCUCUCUUUGAAAUGCCACAAUUUUGUAGAAAAUAUUAAUUAAAGACUCGUCGUAUAGACUUGUUCUUUGCAAAAGGGAAGGAUGCAUGGAUGCAUAGGAAUUUUGUUUGAUACAUGAAGGAAUUUUCUUUGAUACAUGUAGGCUUGCUCUUUGGAAUAUCCCAUUCCAUAGGAAUUUCAAAGAGAUUGAUGCGAUGUUCCAUAGGAAUUUCAAUGCGAUUUUCCAAAGAAUCUUAGAGAAAACGAAAGUAAAUGUGAGGUCCCCUUGUUGUUUUGUUUCCUAAGUCUUUCCCUCCCUCCCUCUCUCACCCUCACGCACACACAUCCAAAAGGUUUUUUUCUUUCCGAUGCAUUUGAAGACUUCUUCUCAAAUUUUCAUGUGCCCUUGAUUCCCUCUACAAUUUGAAUUGACAGCACAUUCCAAUCAUAACUUUUUUCUAUUACUUCGGCUCCCUUUGUGAGGGUUGUGGCUGUAGCUGAAACGGCUUCGGUUAUAGCUUCUCCAGUGGAGCGGCUUUUUUAGCUGUGGCUUGUCCGAUUGAAAAAACGUUUAGCAAAACGGCUUCACUUGUUUGUUUUAAAGGAUAAAAGUGUGAAAUGUCCGUACUAUCCUUGUUUUUUUCUUUUUCCCUCUUUUCUUCCUAUAUUUCUUUUCCUUCUUUUUUUUUCCUUUUCCUCCCUCCUUCAUUUUUCUUUCCUAUCCCCUUACCCAAUGGCUCCAUCCACC
rnacentral:lncRNA from 1 species